GAGAUUAAAGGAUUUCUCAAACAUGCGUGAAAUAAUCAAAUCAGCACUCCAGGAAUGUUAUUGAUGACGGAAUAAUAUCAUAACAUGAUAUAGAGCU